CUCCCGCACCAGCCGUCACACAAACCCUAGCCCUGUUUUCCCUCGAUCCCCACAGCCUCCCGCUCCCCUCCUCCACCCCCCUCCUCGCCUCACCACGGCCUCCGCCCUGGAGCCCCGUCGCCGCCUCUCCUCCACCCCCUCCUCGCGUCGCCACGGCCUCCGCCUGCUAUUCCUCCUCCACCACACUAGCCCCUCUACGUCGUCUUCCUUCUCUUCGUUGUCAAUGCGGCCGCAUCGACCGCUGGUUCCAGAUCAAGCACGGGUUAGGCGAGCCCGGUGGUGGGGUGAAGGGGCAGGGGAAGAGGAGGUGGGCGACUAGGUGAAGGAGUAGGUCGGCCCUCCUGGAGGCGGCGCCGCCGCCCAGCCAGGGAGGAGGCCAGGCUCGCCUCUGUUUUGCCGUGAGCGGCGGCAGCGCCUAUGCCUCCACCACACCUUCUUUUCCAUGCCUCUUCCUUGGCAUGACAGGCAGAUUUUGCGGAGACCCCAUGAAUAAUAAUUCAAGUGGACGGCCGAUGCGCCUUGUUGUUUAGCGGUAUGAUCUAUGAUGGUCGGCGAAAGUAUGUUCUAUAUUGCAAGACUAUUGCCGCUGAUGUCAAGCCUCUCGAGAUCCGAGAGCCUCCUCCAACUUGCCCUCCCCACCAAGGAUGACGUAGUAACCGCACGCAGAAUUACCUACAACUUGAGUAGAUGCACAUUAUUCACUUCAUAUUCCAAUGGUUUUACUUCCACAUCACAUAUUUGUUUAUAUUAAAUCACAAAAAAUUCAUGAGCUUGCUUGGUUACUGUGGAGAAGGGCAUUCUUUCAAGGAGCUGUAGGUUUUUUGAAUAUGCUCCCUAUUGGACACUUUUUUUUGGUAUGUACAAGAUUUGUUGAGAAUGGGUGUGAGAAAAUUGACCAUCCGGUGGAUUUAUACGCACGGUACUCAGACAUGGUGAAAGCAAAGACCGAAAGGUUUCGAUUUAGAUGAUUUGGAGGUGCCUUGUCCAUCUUCUUACCUCCAGGUCAAAAUUAAGCAGAUGUUUUAUUGCUAAAGGAUAUGCUCUUACUAUCUGAGAUGGAUGAUGAUGUGCGGUACAACCAAAAAUUCAGAGUUGGGCUUUACACACUUCAGUGGGCAAGUGAAUUCCCAGUUUUUCUUCUUUCCCCUGUUACUUCUCUAUUGUACAAAGAGCAAUGAGUUUAUAUUAGCUGAUUCCUGAAUGUUAGAUUGGAAUGCAAGAGUAGUAUCACAACACGGGGGUGGAGACCUGAAGCGAAGCAGAGGGGCAGCAAACGAAGGAAAUCAGAGUCGCGCUAUUUCUAUAUCCUAAUUCUGUGCUCUUAUUUUUUUACAUAUUUAAUUUACAAUCUUGUGUUCCGAAUAAUUCUUGUGGCUUGACAAGACAGAGUGGAGGAUCAAGGAAUGAAAUCAAAACAUUUUUCUAUUUAAAUAUAUCCAAAGGAUGAUAAUUGGCCGUGUCAAGAUGAGUGCACAAGAAGGAUUGUGAAAAAGAAAGUUCAAUCAACGAGACCAUAAUUUAGUGGCGAAACAUAUUAAACAGUACAGAUGUUGCCCACACAUGAGCGCCCAUGGGGAAGCCCAGAUCCAUCAUGUCGCUUUGUGUGGAAAGCGGUUCAAUUCUCUAUUUUCCCUGUAUAUAGAGUAUCAUGCUUCCACUAUAGUGCUCAUAGAUCUUGUAUGUGUAUCGCCAAUUUCAUAUGCAAUUAUUUUUUUACCGGAAUAACAUGUUAGGGCGCGACUAUUCUAAGUUUAACAUGUUAUGUAUGCAGACGCACAACAAUAACAAAAGAUAUGGUUUAGUCAUGCACAUGACUACUAAUCACAAAAAGAGUUAGGAACAAGUUUACUAUUGUGAUUUUCAGCAACCGAAAUAGAAGUAGAGUUAACUAAUGAUUUUAAGCUACACUUUAGCCUUGUUCUGAUAACUAGAGCUGCCAUGAUGCUGCUAAGUGCCUUGCUUACACCAGUUGAAAUAACGCAUGCUUGUCUUUUCUUUUGUUUGCACUGUAGGCAAUGUGUGGUAGAAGCUGUAACGAUGUAGAGUCCUGUAUAUUUUUAAAAUUCAUAAUUGGCAGUGUCAAUUUGUCAUGUGUGAUGGUGCAUGAAUCAUAGUGAGCUUAUUUCUUUGCACACUUGGUGUAUCCUCUUAACAUCUUCUGUACAGGUCGUAGAAUGGAAAGAUCAGUAUGGUGGUACUGUAUUGAAUCAAUUACAUAGGCUUGGAGCCUCCCUUGAUUGGACCCAUGAGAUAAACUUCUUAUUUUCUUAGUUAAGAAAAAUAGUGAAAACAAUGUAUUGUCUAUAGUUCCAAUUCCUAAUGUGAACUUAAUGUCAGCCUUGUGCGUCAGUGCUUUACAAUGGAUGAGAAAAGGCCAAAAGCUGUAAUUUAAGCUUUUGCCAGGUUGUAUAAAGAUGGCCUUAUUUAUAAGUUAGUACUCUUGCCUUUC